GGUCUUGCUAUCACUAAGAGAGUGUCCGCGGUGCAUUAGUUAGUUGGUGAGGUAAUGGCUCACCAAGACAAUGAUACAUAGCCGAGUUGAGAGACUGACCGGCCACAAUGGGACUGAGACACGGCCCAUACUCCUACGGGAGGCAGCAGUAGGGAAUCUUCCACAAUGGACGAAAGUCUGAUGGAGCAACGCCGCGUGUGUGAUGAAGGGUUUCGGCUCGUAAAACACUGUUGUAAGAGAAGAAUGACAUUGAGAGUAACUGUUCAAUGUGUGACGGUAUCUUACCAGAAAGGAACGGCUAAAUACGUG
rnacentral:rRNA from 1 species